rnacentral:rRNA from 1 species
UUUCCCCUACGGGACGCAGCAGUGAGGAAUAUUGGUCAAUGGGCGAGAGCCUGAACCAGCCAAGUCGCGUGAAGGAUGACGGCCCUACGGGUUGUAAACUUCUUUUGUCAGGGAGCAAUUGGGUCCACGCGUGGGCUUAGCGAGAGUACCUGAAGAAAAAGCAUCGGCUAACUCCGUGCCAGCAGCCGCGGUAAUACGGAGGAUGCGAGCGUUAUCCGGAUUUAUUGGGUUUAAAGGGAGCGUAGAUGGGUUGUUAAGUCAGUUGUGAAAGUUUGCGGCUCAACCGUAAAAUUGCAAUUGAUACU